rnacentral:tRNA from 1 species
GCCUUUAUGGCGGAAUGGUAUACGCAGCGGUUUUAGAAACCGUGGUUGAAAGACAUGUAGGUUCAACUCCUACUAAGGGCA